rnacentral:rRNA from 1 species
CACGUAGGGUGCGAGCGUUGUCCGGAAUUAUUGGGCGUAAAGAGCUCGUAGGCGGUGUGUCGCGUCGGCCGUGAAAACCUGCAGCUUAACUGUGGGCUUGCGGUCGAUACGGGCAAACUGGAGUGUUGCAGGGGAGACUGGAAUUCCUGGUGGAGCGGUGAAAUGCGCAGAUAUCAGGAAGAAUAUCCGUGGUCGAAGGCGGCUCUCUGGGACGGUACUGACGCUGAGACGCGAAAGCGUGGGGAGCGAACAGG